rnacentral:sRNA from 1 species
UUUUUUAUAUAUGAAUUGUAGAUAUUUUGAAUAUAUAUAGCAGAAAGCAAUACAAGAAUAAAAGUUCAUGGGUUUGAUUGGGAAAAGCUUUACAAAGCUGUACACUUUGUCAAAAGCGUUACAAACAGUUUACUCUCAACUUUUUUGUACAGUUUUCUCCUACAACUUUUUCAUAGAGCUUUGCACUAUUUCGGUAAAACUUACAGCACCAGCUAACAGAUAAAAAACUUGUACAUCUUUUUUGAAUAAAACGUUAUUGCCUCUACUGAAAUGUUUUGGUACCUUCAAGUUCCAAGACUUUUGCCUUUUUAGUCUUUAAUUUAAUCUAAUUACUCUCACUCUCUCCAAUAUCAAUCAUAGGCACAACAAAAAUUUUCUUUAA